rnacentral:misc_RNA from 1 species
GAAAUGCGAUAAGUAAUGUGAAUUGCAGAAUUCAGUGAAUCAUCGAAUCUUUGAACGCACCUUGCGCUCCUUGGUAUUCCUUGGAGCAUGCCUGUUUGAGUAUCAUGAAAUCUUCAAAGUAAAUCUUUUGUUAACUCAAUUGGUUUCUACUUUGGUAUUGGAGGUCUUUGCAGCUUCACACCUGCUCCUCUUUGUUCAUUAGCUGGAUCUCAGUGUUAUGCUUGGUUCCACUCGGCGUGAUAAGUUAUCUAUCGCUGAGGACACUGUAAAAGGUGGCCAAGGUAAAUGCAGAUGAACCGCUUCUAAUAGUCCAUUGACUUGGACAAUACUUUUAUGAUCUGACCUCGGAUCAGGUAGGAAUACCCGCUGAACUUAAGC